rnacentral:rRNA from 1 species
AGUAACGGCGAGUGAAGCAGCAAAAGCUCAAAUUUGAAAUCUGGCNNNNNNNNNGAGUUGUAAUCUACAGAGGAUGCCUCGAGUGUAAAAGCAAUUGAAGUCUCUUGGAAUAGAGCAUCAUAGAGGGUGAGAAUCCCGUACGAUUGUCUGGCACUCAUGUGAGGCUCCUUCAACGAGUCGAGUUGUUUGGGAAUGCAGCUCUAAAUAGGUGGUAAACUCCAUCUCAAGCUAAAUAUGGGCUGGAGACCGAUAGCGCACAAGUAGAGUGAUCGAAAGAUGAAAAGCACUUUGGAAAGAGAGUUAAAAAGUACGUGAAAUUGUUGAAAGGGAAGCGCUUGCAACCAGACGUGCCUCCUAACGGUCAUCCGCACUCUCGGGUCGGAGCACACGAUAGGAAGCAGGCCAGCAUCGGUUUUGAUGGCGGUACAACACUUCAAGGAAUGUACCUCUUCGGAGUGUUAUAGCCUGGAGCCAUGCUGCCGUUGGGACCGAGGACCGCGCUUCGGCUAGGAUGCUGGCAUAAUGGUUGUCAGCGACCCGUCUUGAAACACGGAUCAAGGAGUCUACCAUUUGUGCGAGUAUUUAGGUGUCAAACCUACGUGCGCAAUGAAAGUAAACGGAGGUGAGAGCUUCGGCGCAUCAUCGACCGAUCCUGAUGUCUUCGGAUGGAUUUGAGUAUGAGCACAACUGGUGGGACCCGAAAGACAGUGAACUAUGCGUGGAUAGGGUGAAGCCUGAGGAAACUCAGGUGGAGGCUCGCAGCGGUUCUGACGUGCAAAUCGAUCGUCAAAUUUGCGUAUAGGGGCGAAAGACCAAUCGAACUGUCUAGUAGCUGGCUCACGCCGAAGUUUCCCUCAGGAUAGCAGCAGCGUUUACAGUCUUAUGAUGUAAAGCGUAUGAAUAUCGGUUCGUGGGACAUCUCGACCUUAACCAAUUCUCAAACUUUAAAUAUGUAAGAAGUUCUUGUUACUCUGUUGAACGUGGACUU